GACCUCGUGGCGCAGUGGUAGCGCGUGUGAUUCCAGUUAGGGAUUCCACAAGGUCAUCCGUUCAAUCCGGGUCGAGGUCA